AUGAACGCUGGCGGCGUGCCUAAUACAUGCAAGUCGAGCGAACAGAUGAGGAGCUUGCUCCUCUGACGUUAGCGGCGGCCGGGUGAGUAACCCGUGGAUAACCUACCUAUAAGACUGGGAUAACUUCGGGAAACCGGAGCUAAUACCGGAUAAUAUAUUGAACCGCAUGGUUCAAUAGUGAAAGACGGUUUUGCUGUCACUUAUAGAUGGAUCCGCGCCGCAUUAGCUAGUUGGUAAGGUAACGGCUUACCAAGGCAACGAUGCGUAGCCGACCUGAGAGGGUGAUCGGCCACACUGGACCGGAGACACGGUCCAGACUCCUGAGGGAGGCAGCAGUAGGGAAUCUUCCGCAGUGGGCGAAAGCCUGACGGAGCAACGCCGCGUGAGUGAUAGAGAUCUUCGGAUCGUAAAACUCUGUUAUUAGGGAAGAACAAAUGUGUAAGUAACUAUGCACGUCUUGACGGUACCUAAUCAGAAAGCCACGGCUAACUACGUG
rnacentral:rRNA from 1 species